rnacentral:rRNA from 1 species
AGCUUGCUCCUUCGACGUUAGCGGCGGACGGGUGAGUAACACGUGGGCAACCUACCUUAUAGUUUGGGAUAACUCCGGGAAACCGGGGCUAAUACCGAAUAAUCUGUUUCACCUCAUGGUGAAACACUGAAAGACGGUUUCGGCUGUCGCUAUAGGAUGGGCCCGCGGCGCAUUAGCUAGUUGGUGAGGUAACGGCUCACCAAGGCGACGAUGCGUAGCCGACCUGAGAGGGUGAUCGGCCACACUGGGACUGAGACACGGCCCAGACUCCUACGGGAGGCAGCAGUAGGGAAUCUUCCACAAUGGGCGAAAGCCUGAUGGAGCAACGCCGCGUGAGUGAAGAAGGAUUUCGGUUCGUAAAACUCUGUUGUAAGGGAAGAACAAGUACAGUAGUAACUGGCUGUACCUUGACGGUACCUUAUUAGAAAGCCACGGCUAACUACGUGCCAGCAGCCGCGGUAAUACGUAGGUGGCAAGCGUUGUCCGGAAUUAUUGGGCGUAAAGCGCGCGCAGGUGGUUUCUUAAGUCUGAUGUGAAAGCCCACGGCUCAACCGUGGAGGGUCAUUGGAAACUGGGAGACUUGAGUGCAGAAGAGGAUAGUGGAAUUCCAAGUGUAGCGGUGAAAUGCGUAGAGAUUUGGAGGAACACCAGUGGCGAAGGCGACUAUCUGGUCUGUAACUGACACUG